AGGCGAUGACGCCCCUCCGCAGCUCAGGAGCAACUUUCCUUGCACAUCCACAUGUGGAAAUGCUCAACCUUGCUCAGGCUCCCAGCUCAAAGCUCUUGGGGGUGCCCUUGGAAACGUAAAGUCAAAUGAUCUUCAUUUCUAAUAGCAGCUGUCCUUCUCAUGAAAGUGUGGAGAUGCUGUGGACUAAGUGAAUGUGUUAGAUACUACCUGGGAGGUACUCAAACAACUGAUGCAUUUUUCUAUACAUACAAAUAAACUACAAUUCCCAGCCUUCUUAAAGCGGAUUUAUGUUAUUAGUUCUGGACAAUGGAAUCGAACAGAAAUGAACAUGGCCACCUCUAAGCCCAACUCAAACACACAUUUGAUCCUUAUGUCUUUUCUUCUUCCUUCAUUUGCAUAGCAAAAUAUUUCUUCAGCGUCACUAAGGCUGGGCUUCAAUCCCUAAGAUGCUAAGAAAGAA